rnacentral:rRNA from 1 species
UACGGGGGGGGCAAGCGUUUGUUCGGAAUUACUGGGCGUAAAGGGCUCGUAGGCGGCCAACUAAGUCAGACGUGAAAUCCCUCGGCUUAACCGGGGAACUGCGUCUGAUACUGGAUGGCUAGAGGUUGGGAGAGGGAUGCGGAAUUCCAGGUGUAGCGGUGAAAUGCGUAGAUAUCUGGAGGAACACCGGUGGCGAAGGCGGCAUCCUGGACCAAUUCUGACGCUGAGGAGCGAAAGCCAGGGGAGCAAACGGG